AACGAACGCUGGCGGCAGGCCUAACACAUGCAAGUCGAACGCCCGUAGCAAUACGGGAGUGGCAGACGGGUGAGUAACGCGUGGGAACGUGCCCUUCGGUUCGGAAUAACUCAGGGAAACUUGAGCUAAUACCGGAUACGUCCGUAAGGAGAAAGAUUUAUCGCCGAAGGAUCGGCCCGCGUCGGAUUAGCUAGUUGGUGAGGUAACGGCCCACCAAGGCGACGAUCCGUAGCUGGUCUGAGAGGAUGAUCAGCCACACUGGGACUGAGACACGGCCCAGACUCCUACGGGAGGCAGCAGUGGGGAAUAUUGGACAAUGGGCGAAAGCCUGAUCCAGCCAUGCCGCGUGAGUGAAGAAGGCCUUAGGGUUGUAAAGCUCUUUCAGCGGGGAAGAUAAUGACGGUACCCGCAGAAGAAGCCCCGGCUAACUUCGUGCCAG
rnacentral:rRNA from 1 species